CCUACGGGAGGCAGCAGUGGGGAAUAUUGCACAAUGGGGGAAACCCUGAUGCAGCGACGCCGCGUGCGUGAAGAAGUAUUUCGGAUUGUAAAGCUCUAUCAACAGGGAAGAAGAAAGACGGUACCUGACUAAUAAGCCCCGGCUAACUACGUGCCAGCAGCCGCGGUAAUACGUAGGGGGCAAGCGUUAUCCGGAUUUACUGGGUGUAAAGGGUGCGUAGACGGCUGUGCAAGUCUGAAGUGAAAUCCCAGGGCUCAACCCAGGGACUGCUUUGGAAACUGUCGUGCUAGAGUGCUGGAGAGGAAAGUGGAAUUCCUAGUGUAGCGGUGAAAUGCGUAGAUAUUAGGAGGAACACCAGUGGCGAAGGCGGCUUACUGGACAGUAACUGACGUUGAGGCUCGAAAGUGUGGGGAGCAAACAGGAUUAGAUACCCGGGUAGUC
rnacentral:rRNA from 1 species